rnacentral:ncRNA from 1 species
AUCACAUGACUGGCGGAAGUGGGUCACCACGAGGGAGUGUGAUUAAUAAAGAAGUCGACCGCCUGGGCUGC